UGGGGAAUAUUGCACAAUGGGGGAAACCCUGAUGCAGCGACGCCGCGUGAGCGAAGAAGGCUUUCGAGUCGUAAAGCUCUGUCCUAUGAGAAGAUAAUGACGGUAUCAUAGGAGGAAGCCCUGGCUAAAUACGUGCCAGCAGCCGCGGUAAUACGUAUGGGGCGAGCGUUGUCCGGAAUUAUUGGGCGUAAAGGGUACGUAGGCGGUUUUUUAAGUCAGGUGUCAAAGCGUGGAGCUUAACUCCAUUAAGCACUUGAAACUGAAAGACUUGAGUGAAGGAGAGGAAAGUGGAAUUCCUAGUGUAGCGGUGAAAUGCGUAGAGAUUAGGAGGAACACCGGUGGCGAAAGCGGCUUUUUGGCCUGCAACUGACACUGAGGCGCGAAAGCGUGGGGAGUAAACAGG
rnacentral:rRNA from 1 species